CAGGCACAGAGAUCCUAAAACCCUGGAAAUUUCCUGAUAGUCCCUUGUGGUGCUAAUCACAAUCCAUCGCAUGUUGUUUGUAUAAGGAUGCAUACAACAUACCAGCUAAGAAUCCAAGCUUUGGAACCAGAGAAACCCUGGUCAACCUCUAACUCUGCUACCUACUAGAAGUGAGCUUGGGCAAGUUACUUAAGAUCAUCCAGCAUGUUUCCUAAUCUACUAUAUGAAGAUAAAGACAGCAACAAUAGAAAACUGAGGACUACUUGUGGGGGAGGUAAGAGGAGGGGUAAGGGUUGAAAAACUAUUGAACUAUUGAGUACUAUGCUCAGUACCUGGGUGACAAGAUCGUUGGUAACUAAAAUCUCAAUAUCAUGCAAUAAACCCAGGCAAUGAACCUGCAUAUGAAUCUAAAAUAAAAGUUGGAAUCUAAAAUGAAUCUAAAAUAAAAGUUAGAAGGAAAAAAAAAAACAGUAGCUAUCUAACAGGAUUAGUCUCAGAAUCAAAAACAGUGAUGUAUAAUAUAAAAAGCACUUAGCACAAUACUAACACAUAGGAACAGUUUAAUAAAUGUGCCUAUUAUUACCUAGUCUGAGUCCAAAAUGGUCACACCUACAUCUUAUUCUUUUUUUUAAUUCUUUCCCACUUCUCUUUUGUGUUAUGCUGCUUGUACUUAAUAAUUAUUUAGUUAAUAAAAUCUGAUCAAUUCAGAAGUAAAUUCCUAGGUAGAUCUUAACAAGGUGAAGUCCAAACUCCAGUAAAUGUCAAAAAAUGGCUUAUUAUCCAUAUUAUUAGCAGUUAGUUUUAGUAUUAGCUUAGCCAAUAUAUACAUUAACUAUCAUAUUACAUAAAUGCAGACGUCCAACAAUCAUUGUGAAAGUGUUCACACCACAAUUAUCAUCAAUGAUUAGGCCACUAUCAAAAAUCCUUGAUAUCAUUACGCAAAAAGAGCCUAAAUUAAUCUGAAAAUACUAGCAUGUAUCCAGCCACAAAGCAAGUCUUUGGCAAGCUAAAUCAUCCUGUGUCCUCCUUUUGCAUAAAAGGAAGCUAAAUCUUGGAUCCACUUUUCUAACUGGCCCUCUGAAUGCUUCCUGUUCUAUGAGAUUCCCAACAGAGGCCAGUUCUGCCAUGUAUUCUUAAGAGUACCAAGGGAUGCAAUGUUUCCAGACCAAUUAGAUUACUAUCAAUUCUUAAAUGUUCAGAAUCGACUAGAUCAAAUGGAUAUGAAGAGAUUCUUUAAUCCUGUAGUUAGCAACAAUAAUACAACUACAGCAAUGACCAAAGACUGGUGAAGAAAAGCACUGGUAAUGAUACUAAAGGGGAAAGAGAAAGAGAAUACAGUAAAUGAUGGCUUUAGGAAGUUCAGAAAGAACAACGUCAUAAGAGGAACAAAGGUCUCUCAGGCUAUCUGAAUCCACUUUGAGUCUACGGUCACAAUGGAAACAUUAACAUGUGUAAGUUAUUUGUAAAAUAUUACUGAAAGCAACAUAUAUAUCCCACAGGCAAACCAACUACUAAUAAAAAUAAAUAAGGAAUACAACUGAUUUCAUUAAAAGUUCAGUUUCACAUUUUGCCAAUGACAAUCAUGCUAAUUUGAGGUAUUUCCAUCUAAAUUAAUGAAAGCCCCACAACACAGAUGUGUGUAACAGUACUGGGUAAAGUGGCCAUUCUAAAUGCUAUUAUAUGUGGUAUUAUAUGUUGAACUAAGAAUAUAUUAAAUCUUAAUUGAGAUUUUAAUACUUCCAAGAAACAUGUUUUUAUAUAUGUUAUUUCUAAUAACAUGCCAAAUCAGUGAAAUGGUAUUACAGUUAAGAUAAAACCUUCACAUAGGCACUAAAGAAUGUUACUUUAAUUCAUUCUUUAAAAGGAUAGAGGCAAAUAUUUUCAGUUAAAAUUUGUUCCCAAAAAUUCUGAAACAAUUCCGUAAGAAAUAAUGUAAUGUUUCAAUUAUUCGGCAUUUUUUUGUUUGUUUGUUUCCCUUUCAUAAGCUAUUUCUCAGGGACCCUAUCUGGAUGAGAUCGGUCACUCCCUACCAGGAUCAAUUCAUCAACUCUAAAUCUGUUAGACAAAGAAGGAAAAAAAAAACUAUUGUUUUGAGUUAUUAAAGCACUGCUUUAGAAUACAAUCACCAAGCUCUCAGUCACCUAUCCCUAACUUGCUUUAAAUUUCAAUCACUUUCAAAGUAAGUGCCCUAAAUAUAUAAGCGCUGUAUAUGUAAUUUAAAACCCUUACUAUAUAAUGUUAUGAAUAUUGGUUCUGUCUCACCAAAAACAUUUGCACACUGAAUUCUGAAAAGGUAAUAUUUAAAAAGGAAAAGAAAAUAUAAACCUGUAUUCAUUAUGACAAUGGGUCUGUUUAUUUGGAUGAUUUGUAUAGUUUUGAGCAAUAACAGUUUAUUUGAGCAAAUAAACACAGGAUAAUUUAAAGGCAAUUUACUCUUAAAGUACACUAAAUCCCUAAAGUAAAACACUUGAGAGGCAAGCUGCAGUGAAAAAGAAUGUUUUAUACAUUUUAUUAGUCAAAGGCUAACUCUUAGGGAGCUUCUAAAGGUAAGUAUUAAAAAUGCCAAUCUCGAGAAGAAAACAGAAAAGUGAUUUUGGCUGUCAUUUUGCAGAGCUAUUGAGAAUACUCACAGCUAAAUCACAACUUUAAUCAGGAGACAAAGAGACCAAUUCUUCUCUCAGAAUGCUUUCAAAAAUUUUCAAUUUUCAAAAUUCACGUGACGUUUAGUUCUCUUAUUACUGAUGCUCUACUCCAUCUCUAUCCAUUAACGCUGCCUACAAUAUGAUACCACACCACAGUAUUUUGUAAAUUCAGUCUACGGUUUUACUUCCUGAAGUGUACACUAAUGCUAAUAAAUUAGGUUCUAGGCUUUGCAUAACAUUUACAAAUAGAACCAUAAAAGAAAGCACUAUUCAUACACUCUUAAGAAUGGGAAAGAGCCCUAUAGAGGCCAUAUAGUUCAAAGAAAUUUUCAAUAUUUUCUAACUUCAUCAUAGAUUUUCAGUUUACCUUUACCAAGAUAUGGGUGCUAUUGACUGUAUUUACAUAAACUUAUUAAAAUAACAAUUUAAUUUGUAUAUUGUGUAGUUUUAUGAUUUAAACUUUAAGUGGAAACGUUUAACUUGUUAAAAAUCAAUAUUCUGACAAAAGGAAAGUAAAAGAACGUUAGAAAUAAUUCCAGGGUAUUCUUCUAGCAAACUUAUUUUAAAGCCCUAUGGCACAAACUCAUUUUGUGUGAUACAUCGGAUUUUUUUCCAAUAAGAAUCACCUUUUUCCCCCAUGCCUUAAAUAAGUAUAGAGAAAUUUAAGUCUUAAAAGGGAUUGUAAAUGGCUUAUUAAAAUUCCAUCUGACCAAUUUUCUUGAUGUGAUCUACACAGUAUAAAAUAUACUUAUUAGCAGUCAAUAAAUACUAAAUUUUCUGAAUUGCUUGCCUUUUUACCAAUUACUUUUUCACAGAGCAUUAGCCAAUUAUGUAUUAACCACAUUUUUCUGCUCGAGAAACCUAGAACCACUUAUACCUUCUAGAAGCCUAAAUAUUCCUGCUCCUUCCCUUCCUGCAUGAGGCAUUAAAUCUUCAAAUUAUAGUCUUAUUUAUCAACUUUCCUAAUAAUCACUAUUCUUCACUAUACUGUUACUUGCCACAUUUUUAUUUGGAGAAUAAAUACUAUUCAAGCAUAAAGCUGUCUGACCUAUCUUCUCACUCAAACUGUACUAUGCUCCUAAUACUGAUUAUUCUAUAAUCACUUUAUCCCAGUUACCCAAUUGGUAGGUUUGAUGUAUCAAGUUCCAUUUAAUAGGGCUUGAUAUGCUUCAGGGUAAAGUUAAACAUGCUGACCAUUAUGUUCUAUACUCUACAUCCUCCAAAGCUUUUAAAGUUUACCAACAUCCUUCUUCUCUCUAGAAUAGUAAAUAUCCUAUCAUAGAAAUCAGAGAAACUGCUUGGCUUUAAAGAAUACAGUUCCUGAGCACUUGUCAGAGAAGCUGUUAGUAACUUCCAGACGCCCGCAGGACUAUCAUUUUGGUUAAAUUAAUCACGGGUCAUCUUCUGCCACUUUAAACUUUUUAGUCUUACAAUUAUUGUAGGAAAUCUACAGAUCUACUUUAAAAAUAAGUGAAAUACUAAAAAAAAAAAAAAAAACCAUUAUUUUAGCUCCAUUACUUUUCCCAAAGAAAUCAUUUCAGGGUCCUUAUAUAAUAACUUUUACUUAAACCACAACUGAUCAGUUGUACAUAACACCGGAAGGCUUUAAAAAGGAUACAAUUCUGCACUUAACCUUACAAAACACGUUUCCAAGUUUUCAAUUAUGAGAUCGUUCUAUAUAUUAAAAAAAAGGUGCUAGUGCAGUCUAUCAGAACUGUGCUGCCAGCUGCAAGCCCCGAGUAUGCUGCACUUUGCAAAUUUUAGGUAUAAUUUCUGGUUACCUGCUGAGGUUUCUACACCCUUUGUCACCCAGUGAUGCUCCCACCACCAAACACUUUCCAUCACCACUUAAAACGGCCUCCUUCCACCCCGCAAAAAAUGCACUGUAAACUUAGGCAUUUCUGCAUACUAACACGGAACCACUAAUAUCACUAGGUAUUAUGGCUCUCAAAGAAUCCCCUUUAGCAGGCUCCCCUGGGACGCUGUGCUCAAGCGGAGCUUUGAACCGGUGAGACUCGCUGCCAGCUGCCUUUGCAAAAGCAGCACCAGAGGUAGACUCAAUACCGCAAUGCUGCUGCUGACUUUUUCUAGCAG
rnacentral:lncRNA from 10 species